GUGGGGAAUAUUGGACAAUGGGCGCAAGCCUGAUCCAGCCAUGCCGCGUGAGUGAUGAAGGCCCUAGGGUUGUAAAGCUCUUUCACCGGUGAAGAUAAUGACGGUAACCGGAGAAGAAGCCCCGGCUAACUUCGUGCCAGCAGCCGCGGUAAUACGAAGGGGGCUAGCGUUGUUCGGAAUUACUGGGCGUAAAGCGCACGUAGGCGGACAUUUAAGUCAGGGGUGAAAUCCCGGGGCUCAACCCCGGAACUGCCUUUGAUACUGGGUGUCUGGAGUAUGGAAGAGGUAAGUGGAAUUCCGAGUGUAGAGGUGAAAUUCGUAGAUAUUCGGAGGAACACCAGUGGCGAAGGCGGCUUACUGGUCCAUUACUGACGCUGAGGUGCGAAAGCGUGGGGAGCAAACAGGAUUAGAAACCCCGGUAGUCC
rnacentral:rRNA from 1 species